UUCCUGUCUGUGUUUCCUGGUUGCCAGGAGGUGCUCGCUCUCCUCUACCAGGCCACUUUCGCCUCGGAGUCAGCUUGAACCUGAACUGAAACUCUGAGAUUUUCCUUUCAGAAAGGGGCCACUUAAGGCCAUGUCAGACUGAAUUCAAUGGUCCUGAGCACAUCGCGAGGGCCACGAACAUUGAACAAAAGCAUUGGAAAAAGAUGGUGGACUGAGGACACUAUAUUUAGAACCAGUGCCUACCUUCAACCAAAGUCCACUGAAAACCAGGAAGCAAAAUGCAAAGAAAGAAGCAGAGGCAGAAUGAGAAGGGUUAAUGAAGAAUGCGUGACACACAGUCUUAUGAGGAACAUCUAACUCUUCCCUGCUUACCUGCCUAGGAAAAAAAAUGGGCACCAGUGCUAACUAGUGAAAGACAGUAACCUAUGAUGGGUUGACUGGGUUUGGGGUCAAUGUAUGUGAUCGAUAAGUAACACAAGUGGCUAUAACUUUUCAUUAUAAGAUCUUACAGUCAAACCAGCUUCAAGUACCACACAGUGAUUAAAUCUAUUUAUUUUAUUAAGUAAUAAGUUAUUUCAUAAGAAAUAGAUCAAUCUAAAGGAAAGGUCUAGGAAUAAAAAUUUCCUAGUGCUAUCAGAAAUUAGUAGUGUUUUUAAGAAGUAAAUGUAAGUGACUUCGCCCAAUAUUUUCAUCUGUAAAAUGGAACAAUCAUGAUGUUUAUGAGGAUCAAAUAAGACAGUGGCUAUGAUCUUCUUUUCAAAAGUUAAACAAGCUCUACAAAUGUCAAGUCCUGCCACUUUUCGAUGCUGUCUUACAAAACUAGUCCUUGAGUAUGCACCAGGCAAUUGGCACAGCUUCUCCUUAUGACUAUCUUUCCUCUACACAUGUAGCACUUCACUCAAAACCGACUUAAACAUCAUAUACAAGGGAUAGAUAAGCACUUAGAAAAUCCAAAUGAAUUGGCAGUUCCACUGGAUGUUAAAAAGAAAGACCUAGAUUCACGCUAAACUUUGCUUUCGUGGUGCAUAACUCUCCUUUCCAAAGGUCCUAUUAACUUCAAAGGGAGCUCCGUGCAUGUAAAUCAUUAUAUUUAUUGGAUGCGCCAACUCCUUCUUAUCCUCUGGGCACAAUUAGAAAUAUCAUAGAAAUACGAAUGUCAGAGACUUGGAUCCAUAUUUGAUAUUCUAUGGGAAAUUUCCCAUCGUUACAGAUGUUAAAAAUUCUGCCCAAUGAUCCAGUUGUGAUUUUGCAGUAUUUUUUUCCUAUAUCCUUGGAAUUACUUUUUCUCUGAUUUUAGAAUAUUUGUCUUACAUUAAAGGGAAAAUAUUCUCUAGUGAUAAAACCUUGGCUGUUGUACAACUUGGUGUAGUAAUGAAAAUGAAGACUGCACUCCCUUCUCUUUAAAGGAACAGUUAGUGCUUCCCCGAGAUUAUCCCGUUAAUAGUUAUAGCAAAUGUUUCUGCUUCAUGUUCACUCUGGGAACUGCUAUUAGUGUCUGUGUGUAGGAAUUGAAUUCCUGGGUGCUCAGUUUAAUAUUACACACACCAAGCCACUCUGUAAUUUCAGUGUUCAUUGUAAAUUUAGGCCAUUACCAAUUUUCUUGUUAGAAUCUAGGUUUCCCCAGUUGAAAUAUGUAUGAUCAGUAAAAAUUCAUGUCAGAUGCCUCUAAUCCUGCACUUUUUACACUAAGUUGUUGUUUCUUCACUUUAAAUUCAAGAGUUUCAUGGCUUAUGAAAGAAGUAUCUCUUAUAUUGACUAAGACAAAGAACUUAAUGUCCCCACUCUGUCCUGUCAGUGAAUACGAAGACCUUCUGUUAACAGACAUGGUGUCUCAGUAACAUUAUAUAUGUGUCUGUGUGUGUGCAAGCAUAGAAAAGCAUCUAAGAGAGUGUGUUAGGUCUCUAAGUUUUUUCAAGGUGACAAUAUGGAGAAAAAGUCAAAUUUAUGAAAGAGAAAAUAAUAAUUAGAUGCUAGAAAAAAGACUUUACUGAAAAUGUAUCCACAUGUGAUAGGUUGUUUGAAAGAUAUACUUCUUUUAUAAUGUUUUGAUAAGGAAUAUAUUAAAAAGAUUCAUUCUCACUAGCUUAUAGACAAACCAUAUCAAAGUAAUUUGUAUCCAUUGAAUUAUUCCCAAGAAAUAAAUAUGCAAGAACAGUCUAAUUUUAGUAGGUGUUUAUAGAACAAAAUAAUCCAAAGUAUACAUAAAAAUCAAAUUCCUAGUGAAAUGUGUGUAAGUAGGUUUAUUUUGAAAGGAAAAAUCCUACUCCCAGUGUCAUAACCAAUUAAAUUCUCCAGGUAAUGACCCCAUUUGCAUAGUGAGUGGAACCCACAAGUGGGAAUUUUAAUGGGUACACCUCCUGAGUACUGUAAUUGAGAGUGACACAACUUGAACUAGUUUUGUGCUUACCCCACUGAAAAUUCUACUCAUAUUAUUUUUAAUGUCAAGCUACAAGUCAAAUUUCAAGAUGAUGGAUUUGUUCUUUUUUAAGCACUGAGUUUGAAUAAAAGAAAUGCUUUAAUUCUGUUAUGCAUUGCAGAUCUUUGCUUUAACUAAUCUGUAGUUCUGAUUCUCACCAUUGCUUCAUUUUCUUCAGUGAUUGGAAUUUAAUUUUAUUCAUUAAUUUAUGAAUAAUUAGAUAAAAAAUAAUGUCUUCAGCAGCUAAAUUGCUUUUGGAUUGCAAUUUAAUGUAUUUUUGCCAGAAUAUGUAUUAUAAACUGGCAUAAUAGUUUACUGAAAUGUAAUUGCGUAAAUAUGCCCAAUUAUUCUUUCUGAUGAUCUAAGAAAACCUAAUAUAAUAUGUAUUCUUGGGUAGUUCACUUUUCCUGCACCUCAAUGCCAAUAUAAUGCAGUUUCUGCAGGGUUGAUCAGAGAUGCCUUGUCAUCUGAAGGUAUUACUUUGAAAGAUACUCUCCUCUCUCAGGCACUAUUCAUGCCCUUGAAAGAAUUGUGCAUUCCGAGUGAGGGAUCCUAU